GUGCAAAAGUUAUUGCGGUUUUUGUCAUUGAAAGUAAUGGCAAAAACUGCAAUUACUUUUACA
ensembl:miRNA